AAUAGGCCUCAUUAGAUGCCCAGAGCCCAAGUAUUGUGGCACAGUGUUUCCCAUUAGGGCCGAAAGCAUGGAGACAAAAAACAUAAUAAUGAUGAAGGGUAAUUGGCAGGGAAGCAAGGGGUAUAUAUUUCAUGUUUUAUUAUAGGCAAUCCAUAAACAUGUUUAGCAUAAUACCAUAUUAGAUCAAACAGAAUGUGCUGUGACAGUACAGUACAUAUGCAUCUAUACAGAGAGGACUACUUUUAACCUGUACAAAUAAAGAUGAUAGAAAAUAAAUUGAUAGCUACUUUUUGCACAAAACACCAACUGCAACUCUGAAAUGUUGGCUAAUGUGUCAUUUCAGCAAAACAGUGUAAUAAUAAUAAUAAUAAAUAAUGUGUGUUUGUCACACUUAAAUGAAUCUUAGAGUCUAAUUAAUAAAAGUCUAUCUAAUAAUAAUACAAAAUGUGAUAAUACAUCAUUAAAUCUCCUUUUUAAACAUUAGCAUAUUGCUCAUCUAAACAUCAGCCACCUAACCAUAGAAACAUGUCAUCUAACAAUAAACUAGAACUCCAAAGAAUACGUCAGGAAAAUUCAUUUGAUAAAAAUAAGACAUAGCCAACUUUUAAAACCAAAGCAUUGACGUUUUUAUUUGCCGUUUAGGAAGGAAAGUACCUCGGGUAUUCUGGUCUCGCUAACAUUUCUGGCUAACUGCUCAGUGCUAGCUAACGGCUAAUUAGCUACUUCAAGCUAACUGGCCAAUUGCCUACUGGCUAACGGCUACAAGCUAACGGCUACAGGCUAACUGCUAGCUAAGGCUAAUCGGCUAAUUCAAACUAACUGCUCAGUGCUGGCUAACGGCUAAUCCAUUGGAACUGCUUUAAAGUAGUUGGGCCGUUCAAACCAGUGCAUCUUGCAUCAGAGGAGAGCUUCAAUGGCAUUGUGUGAUCUGCCGGGCUCGUGUUAGCGCGGGAUGUCUGCGCAGAGCUUUGGUCUCAGCAUCCCGUGUGCUCCCUGCUGGACUGAUGGCCAGAUGGGUCAGUGGCUGUGUAGUCAGAGCUUGGUGGGCCCCCUUCUGUUCUCCGCAAGGACCCACUCAUGGGAUCUCAAACCCGAGGGACGAAAAUCAUGGAUUGCCGGAUCACAGGGUUAGAUGGACUGCAAGCUGAGCUGAGACGUUCACGCACGUCUGCGUCCGGCGCGCGCGCGAAACCCCACACAGGUACGUGGAGGAACACGCGCCGGCCUCACGCGUGGCAGAGAGCGUGUGCGGAUAUGCCGGCAUAUGGUGAUAUUUUACACUUGCCCGGGGGGGAGACGGAUCUGUCAGCGGGCAUACUGUUUUACAGAUUAGCAGAAAAAUUAACAAAAGGAAAUGUAAUUUUAUUCAAUAAGCGAGAGCCAGACAUGAUCUUUUAUCAUUUCAGACAAGCUGUUCAGAAGGGUUACAUUACUGAAGAGGUAUUUUUCUUGCCAUGUCAUGUGCAAAUUUAGUCAAGUCAUCUUCAACCACAAUUGCAGUCCAUUAACUCCAUUGUGAAGAUACAUAAUUGAUGCAGCCUUUGGGUAGAGUUUAAUCAAAUGGAGAGUGCUCUACACUCCACCGCCAACUGAAAAAUGAGACAUACAAUCUGCAGCAAUGCAGUUUGCGAGGUAAAACCAUAAUUCACGCUUUGAAUUGAUUUAUAAUCAUUUGACUGCACACUUCCUGCACAGUGCCCACAGCAAAACUCAUAGUUUUUAAGCUUUCAGAGGUGGAUUCAUGUGAAGGAUUUAUGUGCUUGAAUUAGGAUCCGUUUUGAGAAGAAAGGCGAACAUAUAAAACACCAGACCGCUUUUUACUAAUCUAGUUCCAUAUAAAGAGUGUGGUAUGUGAUUUAUGUUCUGUACCUUUUAGGUUUUCAAUUUCAUUUCACUUUGGUUUCAUGCGGAUUCCGUAUCUCUGUUUCGCAAUUAUUCUUUUCCUGUUUCAAUAUUUUCUUUCUCUGUAGGCAUUUGCUUUCCUUUGAAAUAACAGGGAUGUGUGUGGGAAGCGGAAAUGCAUUGUUUAUGCCAUGCUCCUUGAAAUCAAGGGCUUAGCUCUCUAGUUAAAUUUCACAGCCAGCCACCACUUAUCUCUGUCAACUCCUGUUUAAGCCACAGAUGAUCUUGCCUCGCUGUAAACGCUGUUGGCUUUUGUCCUGCGGCCUGAACCUGAGCCGUGAUUCAGCGGCAGAAAUGUGCCACUUUGUUUUACAGAAGCUUUUAAAAGUGACUUGCGUGUUUCGCCGCAGCCACGGUCGGGCCGAGUGUGCACCAUGCCCACAACAUGUGUUCCAGCUCGGGUGCGUCUUUUCCCCGUGAAUGAAUUUUAACUCCGGGGUGGGGGGGUGGGGAAAAGUGUCGGAUUAUGGCACCCACUCAGCGGCUAACCCUGAAUAGCAUUCGCCUCACUCGGCCGUCUUAAUAACACGGCAGUCAAUUACAUCCAUGAAGUCAGAUAUGUAAUUUUCGAAUGAUCAUUAAGUGGAAUUAGAAGUUUGGACGUGCAGGAGAUGGGAGGGGAAGACGGAGAGGGAGAGAGGUAUAACAGUCGUUAACAAUGGAGGCAACGCGUGCUAAAUCCCUCAACCAGAGAUGAGUGAAGAUAAAGGAGGUGACUGAGCUAAUUGUGCACUGUCAGAAUCCAUAUCUCUAACGACUGUCAAAUGAGCAAAUUUCAAAUGUAUUCUCUCCACCCACCUAACUCCCCCCCUCAGGGGUAAAAAUGGUGACAAGAGAGGGAGAGAGAGGAAGAAAUACCAGGAGACGCUAAUGUGAUGAGAAUGAUGCCUGGUCUCUUCCGCUGAUUAAAAAUGCAAUAACGCUGUGACAAACACACACACUGUGCAGGCCGGGCAGAGGAGCGGGUUGGCUCCGUGGGCCCACGGAUGAGAAAUAAAGCCCAGUGACCCCGGACUAAUUUAUUCACAGAGUAUGAAAGUCACUCUCUCCUUUUCUUGCAUCACUGUAUAAAAAACAAACACUUCAGCAAAAAAAAAAAAAAAAAAAAGAAGAAGCUCACGAUCCUUCCUUCAGAUGAUAAUUGGUGCCCACGAGGAGGAGAUGUGGAUGUUAUGAUUCAUGUCUAACCAAUGGCUAUCCUUCUCUACCACUAAUUAUAAAACUGAAGUGACACCGUAGGCUGGUGACGGCAACUGGCCUGGUUUACAGGGAACCAGGAGGAGAUGCAGGGGGUUGGAAAAGACGCUGGUAAACAAAAAAACAAAAAGACAGAUGCUGCAGUGGG